UCAAGAGGGAAACAACCCAGACUACCAGCUAAGGUCCCUAAAUCUUACUUAAGUGGAAAACGAUGUGAAGUUACUUAAACAACCAGGAGGUUGGCUUAGAAGCAGCCAUCCUUUAAAGAAAGCGUAAUAGCUCACUGGUCUAGUGAUUUUGCGCGGAAAAUAUAACGGGGCUAAAGUAAGUACCGAAGCUGUAGACUUAGUUUACUAAGUGGUAGGAGAGCGUUCUAUUUGCGUCGAAGGUAUACCGGUAAGGAGUGCUGGAGCGAAUAGAAGUGAGCAUGCAGGCAUGAGUAGCGAUAAUUAAUGUGAGAAUCAUUAACGCCGUAAACCCAAGGUUUCCUACGCGAUGCUCGUCAUCGUAGGGUUAGUCGGGUCCUAAGUCGAGUCCGAAAGGGGUAGACGAUGGCAAAUUGGUUAAUAUUCCAAUACCAACAUUAGUGUGCGAUGGAAGGACGCUUAGGGCUAAGGGGGCUAGCGGAUGGAAGUGCUAGUCUAAGGUCGUAGGAGGUUAUACAGGCAAAUCCGUAUAACAAUACUCCGAGAACUGAAAGGCUUUUUGAAGUCUUCGGAUGGAUAGAAGAACCCCUGAUGCCGUCGAGCCAAGAAAAGUUUCUAAGUUUAGCUAAUGUUGCCCGUACCGUAAACCGACACAGGUGGGUGGGAUGAGUAUUCUAAGGCGCGUGGAAGAACUCUCUUUAAGGAACUCUGCAAAAUAGCACCGUAUCUUCGGUAUAAGGUGUGGUUAGCUUUGUAUUAGGAUUUACUCCGAAAGCAAGGAAACUUACAACAAAGAGUCCCUCCCGACUGUUUACCAAAAACACAGCACUCUGCUAACUCGUAAGAGGAUGUAUAGGGUGUGACGCCUGCCCGGUGCUCGAAGGUUAAUUGAUGGGGUUAGCAUUAGCGAAGCUCUUGAUCGAAGCCCGAGUAAACGGCGGCCGUAACUAUAACGGUCCUAAGGUAGCGAAAUUCCUUGUCGGUUAAAUACCGACCUGCAUGAAUGGCGUAACGAGAUGGGAGCUGUCUCAAAGAGGGAUCCAGUGAAAUUGUAGUGGAGGUGAAAAUUCCUCCUACCCGCGGCAAGACGGAAAGACCCCGUGGACCUUUACUACAGCUUGACACUGCUACUUGGAUAAGAAUGUGCAGGAUAGGUGGGAGGCUUUGAGUAUAUGACGCCAGUUGUAUAUGAGCCAUUGUUGAGAUACCACUCUUUCUUAUUUGGGUAGCUAACCAGCUUGAGUUAUCCUCAAGUGGGACAAUGUCUGGUGGGUAGUUUGACUGGGGCGGUCGCCUCCCAAAUAAUAACGGAGGCUUACAAAGGUUGGCUCAGAACGGUUGGAAAUCGUUCGUAGAGUAUAAAGGUAUAAGCCAGCUUAACUGCAAGACAUACAAGUCAAGCAGAGACGAAAGUCGGUCUUAGUGAUCCGGUGGUUCUGUGUGGAAGGGCCAUCGCUCAAAGGAUAAAAGGUACCCCGGGGAUAACAGGCUGAUCUCCCCCAAGAGCUCACAUCGACGGGGAGGUUUGGCACCUCGAUGUCGGCUCAUCGCAUCCUGGGGCUGGAGCAGGUCCCAAGGGUAUGGCUGUUCGCCAUUUAAAGCGGUACGCGAGCUGGGUUCAGAACGUCGUGAGACAGUUCGGUCCCUAUCUGCCGUGGGCGUAAGAAGAUUGAAGAGAUUUGACCCUAGUACGAGAGGACCGGGUUGAACAAACCACUGGUGUAGCUGUUGUUCUGCCAAGAGCAUCGCAGCGUAGCUAAGUUUGGAAAGGAUAAACGCUGAAAGCAUCUAAGCGUGAAGCCAACUCUAAGAUGAAUCUUCUCUAAGCUCUCUAGAAGACUACUAGUUUGAUAGGCUGGGUGUGUAAUGGAUGAAAGUCCUUUAGCUGACCAGUACUAAUAGAGCGUUUGGCUUAUCUUUAAUAAAGCAU
rnacentral:rRNA from 1 species